UACGGGGGGAGCAAGCGUUGUUCGGAUUUACUGGGCGUAAAGGGCGCGUAGGCGGCCACCGCAAGUCAGUUGUGAAAUCUCUGGGCUUAACCCAGAAGGUCAACUGAUACUGCGGGGCUAGAGUGCAGAAGGGGCAACUGGAAUUCUCGGUGUAGCGGUGAAAUGCGUAGAUAUCGAGAGGACACCGGUGGCGAAGGCGGGAUCUCUGGGCCGAUACUGACGCUGAGGAGCGAAAGCGUGGGGAGCGAACAGGG
rnacentral:rRNA from 1 species